CUUCACACGCUUCUCAUUCAUUCAAGCGUUACUUUUCCUCUUUCCUUUCUAUCAAAUUGGGGUUUUUAUUUCUUCCCUCUUCAUCACCUUAAUAUCAUUAUCAUCAGAGUUUCUUCUCUUCCUCCUUCAUCAUCCUAUGUAAACCCCAAAGGAAUUCACACCAGUUCUUCAAGGAUUGUUACUGAUUCAUUCUAAUGGAAUGAUGGAUCUUUCAAAUGUCGUUGUUCUACAAGCAAGAGGGCCCCAAUCAUGGUGAAUGCAAAGAUGCUGAAGAUAGUCUCAAUCAGGUAUAAAAUUCACCGAUUGUGUUUCAAUCCGGUUGAUUCGCGAUUGUUGUUGUUGUUUCCACAUGAUUCUCAUCUAUCUAUGAUCCAUUCACAAACCCUAGAUUUCAAUCUAAAGCAACUGAGCAAAAGGAUGGAUUACUUGGGGCCUCAGGGAGUAUUUUCGCAGUGUGAAUAUGAACAUUUGUGAAAUUAUUGAAGGGCGAUUAUAUUAGCAGCUAAGAAAUUGGAUGGUUUAAUUGUUGCUACAGUAGCUGCAAACUUGCAGACGUGAGUUAUGGACUUAUGGUGAUGAUUUACUUGUUGCAGAGGGUUAUCGCGGUACAAGUGGUCGGACAUGGAGCAGAAGAGGGUUGAGGCAAACAAGUUGGCUUCAGAAAAGAAGACGAAAUUCAAGUAUGAAUUUAAGCGUAAGAUCCCUAUCUCUUAUUCAGUUUUGAUGUUUAGCUUCUCAUGCAUAUAAUACAUUAAGUCUAUUUCAAUGUUAUCAUAUGUGACUCUCAGUGCAACUUUAGUUUUCAGCAGGUAUUGUAAGCUAUACUUCUACCAAGGUGCUGACAGUGAAGUAUGUUCCCAAUUUCAUUCUGAACUCUACAUCUCUACCUGUACCUAUUAUGCCCAACCAUGUUAUGACCAUUACCAAAAUGACAAUUUUCUAAUACAAAAUGUCGUGACUCGAACCCGUAAAUAUAAAUUUUAGCUAACAAGUCAUAAUUACCUCUUUUGGGGCAAAAAAACAGUUUUUAUUUAACGGGCCAGUAGUUAUUCAUUUUUAGAAUACUGCAACAAAACUAUGAGUUAACCUUUUUAGUAAAUGGGUCAAAAACCGUUCUUAGUGAAUGGGUCAAAAUCAUCACUUUUGUCAAAGUGCUUUGUGUUUUGACCUGAACCAAUCAAGCAUGUACACUAUUUCUUUCGCAUCUGUACAGAUUUGAGUAUCAAUGCGGCUCAGGUCGAAACGAGUUUUAAUUGGAUUUGGUUACACAUAUGAACGGGUUCAAGUCAUUAUGAGUUUAUGUCAUAACGGGUCGACUCAAAAAAGGGUUGUUUUGGUAAGGGUCGAUACAGGUUUUGGGUCGGUAUGGGUUGGUCAUUAUCAUAUACUAAAUAUUAAACUUUGAUAAAGAUAAAAACUAAUGAUUAAUAAAAUUAGUAAGGCUAUAAAAGUUGAAGCUUAGACCAAGUGUUUGACCUUUGUCAUCAACUGGUCACUGUAUUUCCAAGAAGUCAAUUUGCAACCAACAAGAAAUUCAUGAAGAUCCACGUUUACUUUUUAUCUAUUGGUUCAGUAUUUUUUAUUAGUUUUUACUAUACUUUUUUUCUUUAUAUAAAAAAUGUAAGGAUUUUUCUGGGAUGAAAUGAUCAUUUAGAAAAAGUUUGUGGGAAAGUUUGUAAGCAUUGCUACUGUGUGAGAUAACUAUGGAGGUUUUAGUUGGGUGCAUGAGAGAUGUUCCAAGGGUUUUUAGCAGGACUCUAAAUUAUAUUUUUGAAACUGACCAUAUAAGGUGGUAAUGUUUUGCACAUAGUAUAUUAUAUUCACUCAAGUGUUUAGCUAAGCAGUCAAUAGCGGUGCUAUAGCGGUUAGCAGACCUCAGGGUGUGUAGCGGUCCAAAUAGCGGUGGCAUAUAGCGGUUCCACUAUUACCGGCGCUAAAUACCGCUAUAGCGGUGCUAUGGCGGUACUAUAGCGGUUAUAGCAGUAACCGUGUUUGAUUGUGUUAAUUCUUAAAUUAAAUACUUCAAAGUUACUUUUAAUAUUUGAUUUGCAACAGGUUUUUGAUAAUGGAAUGAUAUUACUAUGAAUUUUGAUAUUACUAUUAAUAUUUUUCAAAGAUAUAUUUAUAUAUAGAGAGAGAAAGAAUAAUGUACAAAAGAGCUUAACGUACGUUAACGUACAUGACAGAAAAACAACUUGCAUGAUUACAUUUCCAUGCGUUAUUAUGCUCCCAUGCGUGAUUAGGUAUGCUCCCAUGCGUGAUUAUCACCAAAAAACUAAUCCCAUGCGUUAUUAUUUGUUCCAUGCGUGAUUAUAGCCCUGAUCUGACGGUUACCAGUGUCGCGUACGUGAAGUAUGAUAAGCCCUUUUGUAUGUUAACCUUUCUCUCUCUCUCUCUCUCUCUCUAUAUAUAUAUAUAUAUAUA